CUUCAUCAGUGUCACAUCACUCCAGUCUAAUCCAAACCACAUGAUUCUACUGUGUGUGUAGGGCAGGGCUCUGUAUCGCUAAAGAUAAAUGUAACCUGACAGAUAACUAUGUCUACGGCAGACAGGAUUUCAGAGAAUACAAACUUGGUUUCAUUUAAAGUUGUGUAACAGUCAAAACCCUGUGUGGAUCAGGAUAAAACUCUCUCUGGCUUUACUUUGGACGGUCUGUGUGUCUUUGGAGGAACCACAGGUCCAGAAGAAGUACAGUAUGAGAGAUAGCUAGCCUAUCAUGGCUGAAGAGGACCACUAAGGUGGUACCCAGCAGUUACUGUGUUGUCUAAAGCCCAAGCUGAUCGAUGCUCUGAGUGCAGACCCUAACUUUGUGCAGCAGCAUUCAGACUCUCUCAGACUAAUGUCCCGGCGUGAGUACCAGCAGGUCAAAGCCCUCACUGAGGCAUUAGAAAAGGCCCGGGACCUUCUGAACCAUGUGAUCCACAAAGGAGUCGCUGCUGCAGAGGAGUUACUGCAGUUCCUGAUAGUCAAUGAACUGCAAGAGACGUUUCCAAAACUUCCAUUCCUCAAGAAACUGUCAAUGAAUCAUCAAAGAGCUGCAGGGGGAAAUUAAUUUACCAGAAAGAGAAGAAGAGAAGACAAACCAUUGAGUCAGAAGAAACCCUUCCUGCUAAACAGACAAGCAAGAAUAGUUAGUUUUCCUGCCGGAACAGGAUCUGGCACCUCAGAUUUGACUUUGUUUGUUUCGGCACCUAUUUACCCGGAUCCAGUACCUCUCAUGAUUUAUUCCAUUUUUCACUGGUCGUACUGUAAACAUUUUAAUAAAAGCGA
ensembl:lncRNA